AUGUCAGAAGGAGGAUCAUCUGCUGUGGGUGUUCCUGAUCUUUGAGCCAUGAUAAUGUUACUGGUUGGAUGUCAGGAGCAGGCCAUGUGGAUGAUUAAAAGAUGAAUAUCAUAUACAGCAUGGAUAUGUUGGACAAAAAGAUGAUUCACAUCCCAGACAGAAUGGAGCAGCACAUUUAUUAAAAGCCAGAAGCUAGAAGACGAGGAAAGAAGAGGUGGUUAAAGAAAGAUACAGUAACAGCAGUAAUAUCUAACAGGAAGGCUACAGGGGAAAAUACAGAAAUUCCAUAAAGAACAAACACUGUAACUCAAAACCAAAGCUUUGCUAGUCACUAGUGCCCGCUACAUCCUAACAGAGUUGUUAUGUAAAACCUCCCAGCGAAAGAAAUAGUCCAGAAAGCUUGAAGAGAAACUGAAAUUUGAAAAAUCUACCUAAAAAGGUGAUAAAGGAUUUUCAGUUUUGCAAAAAACGCAAUACAGAGUGUCUUUGGAAAGAAAGUUCUCAUAUGGAUUUAAAAUAUGAUUCAAUUUACAGAAGUCAGAGAUGGCAUGAAUCCAACAGUGAAGAAAUCAGAAUACGUUGCUUUUGUGAGGGGCAGCUGCUGAUUUUCUCUGAGCUCCGUUUCCAGCCUUCACAUGCUCUGCUAUUCAUCACAGGGUAAAUUCUGACUAUAGGAGGUACUGACAGAAGAUUAGGGAAGAACAGAGGGCUAAAUGUUUAUUGACUUCUUGAAAAAUGCUAUGUGUCUUGCCAGACUUAGCUUACAAGUUUGGUUAAAGAGAGACUGACAUGAGCAUAAAGGAAGGGACAUUGAAAGAGGCAGAGAUGAAGGAAGAAAUUGUAACUUACUCCUUUUAUCCCACCCAUCAAAGGAAAGACAAGUUGACAAGUAUUGAUUCUGCAACAAACUGAGAAGAAACCUGGCGAUUCACAACAGAGAGCUGAGAAAUCCUAAGUCUGGAUUCCAGCUAAAUGGGAGCAGACUAAAUAGAGCGGCAGUCGGCGAACUACAUGUAGCCCAUGAACAAAAUCCGGUCCAGCACGUGUGUUUUUUUUUACGGCCCACAAAUGAGUCUGUCUUUACAGAUGAAUGUUAAAACUGGGUUGACAAGAGAGAACACUCACUUUGAACCGCAACUAAACAAAAUAUUAUCACCUUUCCCCUCAAAAAAGGUUUUUGUUCUUCUCAUUAGUAAAUUUGUAUUAUGACAAAA
rnacentral:lncRNA from 1 species